CCUACGGGUGGCAGCAGUGAGGAAUAUUGGUCAAUGGACGCAAGUCUGAACCAGCCAUGCCGCGUGCAGGAAGACGGCUCUAUGAGUUGUAAACUGCUUUUGUACGAGGGUAAACGCAGAUACGCGUAUCUGUCUGAAAGGAUCGUACGAAUAAGGAUCGGCAAACUCCGUGCCAGCAGCCGCGGGAAUACGGAGGAUUCAAGCGUUAUCCGGAUUUAUUGGGUUUAAAGGGUGCGUAGGCGGUCGGAUAAGUUAGAGGUGAAAUCCCGAGGCUCAACUUCGGACUUGCCUCUGAUACUGUUAGGCUAGAGAGUAGUUGCGGUAGGCGGAAUGUAUGGUGUAGCGGUGAAAUGCUUAGAGAUCAUACAGAACACCGAUUGCGAAGGCAGCUUACCAAGCUACUUCUGACGUUGAGGCACGAAAGCGUGGGGAGCAAACAGGAUUAGAUACCCUUGUAGUC
rnacentral:rRNA from 1 species